CCUACGGGAGGCAGCAGUGGGGAAUUUUGGACAAUGGGCGCAAGCCUGAUCCAGCAAUGCCGCGUGCAGGAUGAAGGCCUUCGGGUUGUAAACUGCUUUUGUACGGAACGAAACGGUGAGCUCUAAUACAGUUUGCUAAUGACGGUACCGUAAGAAUAAGCACCGGCUAACUACGUGCCAGCAGCCGCGGUAAUACGUAGGGUGCGAGCGUUAAUCGGAAUUACUGGGCGUAAAGCGUGCGCAGGCGGUGAUGUAAGACAGAUGUGAAAUGCCCGGGCUCAACCUGGGACCUGCAUUUGUGACUGCAUCGCUAGAGUACGGUAGAGGGGGAUGGAAUUCCGCGUGUAGCAGUGAAAUGCGUAGAUAUGCGGAGGGACACCGAUGGCGAAGGCAAUCCCCUGGACCUGUACUGACGCUCAUGCACGAAAGCGUGGGGAGCAAACAGGAUUAGAUACCCUGGCAGUCCACGCCCUAAACGAUGUCAACUGGUUGUUGGGUCUUCACUGACUCAGUAACGAAGCUAACGCGUGAAGUUGACCGCCUGGGGAGUUAGGCCGCAGGUUGAAACUUAAAGGGAAUUGAGG
rnacentral:rRNA from 1 species